CCUACGGGAGGCAGCAGUGGGGAAUAUUGCGCAAUGGGCGAAAGCCUGACGCAGCGACGCCGCGUGAGGGAAGAAGGUUUUCGGAUCGUAAACCUCUGUCAGUAGGGAAGAAAGGUCACUGUGCUAAUCAGCAGUGAAUUGACGGUACCUGCUAAGGAAGCACCGGCUAACUCCGUGCCAGCAGCCGCGGUAAUAAGGAGGGUGCGAGCGUUAAUCGGAAUUACUGGGCGUAAAGCGGUCGUAGGCGGUAUGUGAAGUCUAGGGUGAAGUCCCCGCGCUCAACGUGGGAACUGCCUUUGAAACUGGGAAAAUGGAGUGUAUGAGAGGAAAGUGGAAUUCCAGGUGUAGGAGUGAAAUGCGUAGAUAUCGGGAGGAACAUCAGUGGCGAAGGCGACUAUCUGGCACAUAACUGACGCUGAGGAGCGAAAGCGUGGGUAGCGAACAGGAUUAGAUACCCCAGUAGUC
rnacentral:rRNA from 1 species